GGGACCUAUUAAAUCAAUAGGUUCCACUUCCCACAACACCUCUGCCACCAACCAAUUGAGGGUCUUCAGGAGAAGUGUUCUUAUCUGUGCAAUAGAGCCUGCCAGAAGGGGCACCUGGCAACCCUCUUCAGAGGCUUGAUCCUGUGCUGCAGAAACCUAUGGACCUGCUCAACCUGUGCACUGGAAUUCCAGGGAUAGACUGAGCUGUCCCUAGGAGGCUGGGAGCAUUCUCCAGCAGAGACCAGCAACUGCCUCCUGCCUGGAGAAUCUGGAAGGAGGAAGGGCGGCUGGAAUCACCUGUGAUGACUCCAGUGUGUCAGAGAAGACAGGAAGACCAAGAAACAGCCAAGGAGAGGGGCUGAGGAAUGAGAGAUGGAGGAGACAACAGAUUGUCCUUCCCAUUGCCAAACCUUAGGCCGGGCCUGAGGGGAUCAGACUGGGCAAUUGAAUCCUCAAAGGUUCCUGGAAGGACUCAGACUUGUGUACACAUGGAGAAUAGCGUCUGGCGCCAAGAACGCAGAGCGGCUGAGAACUGGUGUUUCUCCUCUUAGGAAAGAAAAUGACAGGGAAAGGAAGAAAAAUAGGAAAGAAGAAAGGAAGAGAGAGAAGAAGGAAAAAAAGAGGGAGGGAGGGAAGGAAAGGGUAGGGAAGGAAGGAAAGAGGAAAAGAAGGAGGAAGAGGAAGAGAUGGAGAGAAGAAAGAAAGGAAGGAAAAGGGAGGGAAGAAAAGGAAAAGAGGGAGGAAGGGAGAAAUGGAAGAAGGGAAAGAAGGAAAAGAAGGAGGAAGAGGAAGAGAUGGAGAGAAGAAAGGAAGGAAGGAAAAGGGAGAGAAGAAAAAGAAAAGAGGGAGGAAGGGAGAAAAGGAAGAAGGGAAAGAAGGAAAAAAGGAAGAAGAGAGGAAUGGAAGGAAGAAGGGAAGGGAAAGAGGGAGACAGGUAAAGAGGGAGGGAGGGAAAUAAGGAAGAGGGAGAAAGAGGGAGAAAGGGGGGAGGAGCAAAGGACGGAAGAAGGAAGGAAAGAAGAAGGGAGGGAAGGGAAAAUAGAGGAAAUGAAGGACGGCACAGGGAAGGGGAAAAAGGACGAAGAGGAGGAAAAGAGGGAGGGAAGAAGGAAGAAGAAAAGGAAAGAGAAAAGAAGGAGGGAGGGAGGGAAGGAAGACAGGAAGGAAAACCAAACGUCGAGGUAGCACUGUGUGUUUGGAUUUCUUGCUUUACUGAAGUAUUACCUUCAUCAGAAGCAGAUGGACUGAAUCACGUCAAAGUCUACCUAGGCAGGAAGCAUUGUUUUAAUUUACCCAGGUCACGGCAAACAUAUUGUCAUUCAGCAUGUGAAACUGUUUGAACUUACAAGGAGUAACCCAGCAACAGCAAUUACCCCACGUGUCCGUUGUGCUCUGAUGAUACAAACGCAACUGGAAUGGAGUCUCAUAAUUUCACAAGGUGACAAAACAUUGAAUUCUGAUGUUUCACCUCCACCUGCGAAUGAGCAGGGAGGUGCUGAGAGGCCAGCUGAAUACACAAAUUCCUUGGGCCCAUGGGCACUGUACAGAGGCCGGCUGCACUGGGGCAAGCUUGCCCUCCUCUCAACCUCAGGCCGGCAGCCAAUGCAGAGCAGCCCCACCGCGGGCUUUUGUCUGCUGAGAGCACACCCCCUGCAUUUCUUAUCAGAUUUACUGUGACAAGGACCCGGAGAAAAGCAAGAUGCUGGUAAGAGCUCAUCAAUUCAGACCCCACUAUUCAGAAAUUUGGAUUUAUUUUUUUGUCACGGAGAACUAGAACUGAUGUGAAUCUUGGCACUAUCCUUGAAAAAAAAUCAUUCAUAAUAACACAACAAUAAUAUAUAACAUUUACUGAGUUCUGACUCUGAACGAGGUACUGUCUGGAGUGCUCUUCGUGGAUGUCUCAUUUAAUCUUCAAAGCAACACUGUGAGGAAGGUCCUAUUAUUCUCUCCAUUUUGCAGGCGAUUACUUUGAGGCACAGAGAGGUCAAGGCCUGCCCAAGGUCACACAGCUAAUGAAUGGGAGAGCCUGGAUUCAGAACCCCAGCAGUCUGAUUGAUGCCAGAGCCAUAUUCUCAAUCACACUUUAAAAGGCAACUCCCAGCUAGGUCAAGAAUUCAGAUUGUUUCUAUGGACCUGAAAAUCAUUUUAACAGUACCCAUUUCUGUUGUUAAAAAAAAAAAAAAAAAGACAAGACAGUGACCCAAUCGAUGAUUCUUAUCCAUUCAUUAAGUCAAAGUUGCUCCUUGACCAUCCUGUUAGCCCUUAUUUCAUGCAUGUGAAAUGAAUAAAACUUCAUUUUGUUCAAAAAGACCCUUGGAUUCAGACUUUCUAUGCUUUUAGGUGGGCUUUCUUAUUAUUAUUCAAAGUCACUGAGGUUUUUCUCAAAGACUUCGGAGACUAAACUAAUCACAGCUGCCUUUGAG
rnacentral:lncRNA from 10 species